rnacentral:rRNA from 1 species
GACGAACGCUGGCGGCGCGCUUAACACAUGCAAGUCGAGCGAUGAAACUUUAACAGAACCCUUCGGGGCGAAGAUAAAGUGGAUUAGCGGCGGACGGGUGAGUAACACGUGAGUAACCUGCCUUAGACAUUGGGAUAGCCUCGGGAAACCGGGAUUAAUACCAAAUAAAAUCAUAAUGACACAUGUCAUAACGAUCAAAACUCCGGUGGUCUAAGAUGGACUCGCGUCCCAUUAGCUAGUUGGUAGAGUAAAAGCCUACCAAGGCGACGAUGGGUAGCCGGCCUGAGAGGGUGAACGGCCACAUUGGAACUGAGAAACGGUUCAAACUCCUACGGGAGGCAGCAGUGGGGAAUAUUGCACAAUGGAGGGAACUCUGAUGCAGCGACGCCGCGUGAACGAAGAAGGCUUUCGAGUCGUAAAGUUCUUUUAUAUGGGAAGAUAAUGACGGUACCAUAAGAAAAAGCCCCGGCUAACUACGUG